rnacentral:rRNA from 1 species
GCAAAUUUACACCGUAACUUCGGGAGAAGGUGUGCCGCUGGCGGUUAGUGACUUCGCGUCACGAAGCUGUCGGUGGUCGCAGUGAAAUGGCGGUUGUGACUGUUUACUAAAAACACAGGACUCUGCGAAGUCGUAAGACGACGUAUAGGGUCUGAUGCCUGCCCGGUGCUGGAAGGUUAAGGGGAUAUGUCAGCGCAAGCGAAGCAUUGAACCGAAGCCCCAGUAAACGGCGGCCGUAACGAUAACGGUCCUAAGGUAGCGAAAUUCCUUGUCGGGUAAGUUCCGACCUGCACGAAGGCAUAACAACAUCCGCACUGUCUCGACCAGGGACUCAGCGAAAUUACAUUGGGGGUGAAGAUGCCCUCUACCCGCGGAAAGACGGAAAGACCCCAUGAACCUUUACUGCAACUUGGCAGUGAUUUUCGGGUUGUUCUGCGUAGGAUAGGUGGGAGGCUUUGAAGUCGGGCUUCCGGGUUCGACUGAGCCAACGUUGAAAUACCACCCUGAAUAAUCUGGAAAUCUAACCUGCGCCCAUGAUCUGGGCGAGGGACACUGCCUGGUGGGCAGUUUGACUGGGGCGGUCGCCUCCUAAAUUGUAACGGAGGCGUGCGACGGUUCCCUCAGGCUGAUUGGAAACCAGCCGUAGAGUGCAGACGCAUAAGGGAGCUUUACUGCGAGACUGACAAGUCGAACAGUUGCGAAAGCAGGUGUUAGUGAUCCGGUGGUACCACAUGGAAGGGCCAUCGCUCAUCGGAUAAAAGGUACUCUGGGGAUAACAGGCUGAUCGCGCCUGAGAGUUCACAUCGGCGGCGCGGUUUGGCACCUCGAUGUCGGCUCAUCGCAUCCUGGGGCUGGAGCAGGUCCCAAGGGUUUGGCUGUUCGCCAAUUAAAGCGGUACGCGAGCUGGGUUUAAAACGUCGUGAGACAGUUUGGUCCCUAUCUUCCGUGGGCGCAGGACACUUGAGAGGAGCUAUCCAUAGUACGAGAGGACCUGGAUGGACGAACCUCUGGUGCUCCGGUUGUCACGCCAGUGGCAUAGCCGGGUAGCCAUGUUCGGAACAGAUAACCGCUGAAGGCAUAUAAGCGGGAAGCUGGCCUCAAGACUAGGUGUCCCUGACGCAAGUCACUAAAGGCCCCUCGAAGACUACGAGGUUGAUAGGCUCGGUGUGGAAGCGCUGCAAGGCGCGGAGCUAACGAGUACUAAUAGGCCGUGCGACUUGACCCC